GGGGAUGUAGCUCAGUGGUAGAGCGUCCGCUUUGCAUGCGGAAGGUCCGGGGAUCGAUCCCCUGCAUCUCCA
rnacentral:tRNA from 1 species